rnacentral:rRNA from 1 species
GACGAACGCUGGCGGUGUGCUUCACACAUGCAAGUCGAACGAGGUAGCAAUACCUAGUGGCGGACGGGUGAGUAACGCGUGGGAAUCUGCCUUUAGAUGGGGGAUAACGGGUCGAAAGACUCGCUAAUACCGCAUAUGACGAAAGUUGAAAGGAGUAAUCCGUCUAAAGAUGAGCCCGCGUCCGAUUAGCUAGUUGGUAGAGUAAAAGCCUACCAAGGCGACGAUCGGUAGCUGGUCUGAGAGGAUGAUCAGCCACACUGGGACUGAGACACGGCCCAGACUCCUACGGAGGCAGCAGUGGGAAUAUUGGACAAUGGCGCAAGCCUGAUCCAGCAAUGCCGCGUGUGUGAAGAAGGCCUUAGGUGUAAGCACUUCUAGUAGGACGAAAGUACGCGGGCGUAA